GAAGAUGAAAUUGUAAUUGAUAUUUCAUUGUGAUUAUAUAUAAAAUAUUACUCUCUUUGUACAAAGUAGACAUCAUGUAUCCCCACCAGUUGGACAAUUUUGUGCUAUCUUCCUCAGGUUCUCAAUGAUCAUUACAAGCUUUGUGUUGAGCCUAUUCACAAAGCACUUGGGCAGCCAUCCAGCAGGAUCUAACUGAACAACAUAAGUGACCAAACAGGAGUCAUCUUCAAGCUUCUCCACAACCCAUCCUGACUGAAGCAAUAGUCCUCUGAUUGCAUUAUUUUGCUUAGGGUGCAAUCCUGCAGCUAUCUCCUUCGGCAGCGAAGCUACUGCUACUACCUACAGUUUGUUCAAAGAAACAAAACAACCAAGUUCAAAUAUUGAAGGAAGCAUUCUUUUCAUUGCAUAGUUCUCUCUAUUUUCUUUGUCAUACUCACCAAGGUUCCAUCUUCCAUUGUUUCGCGUCGCUCAUAUACUAUGAAUUCUCUGUUUCUGAAGAGAGGUUUAGAGUUCUCUCCGAACCUGAGGCGAAUUAUGCACAAAUUUUCUUCGAGAUCUUUUAUGUAUCUUGCUUCCACCAGGUCAGGAUCCCAUUGCUGAUCUAACCAAAAUUGCAAUUAAAAUUUUAUCAACAAUCUCAAACACAUGUGGAAAGGCCUUAAAAAAUUGAUUACCCUUGCAGCAUCAAUGGCAUUUGCAACAGUGAUGAAUUGUUGUGGAGAGACUGAUCUUAGCAGCCACCUGCUACGAAAGGUGUGGAAUGAACCAGACCUGCGUUUUGAUAUCUCAACCCCAUUGUCUAGAGUUACAACCUUCCAUCCAUCAUUGCCAUUUCCAAGCCUGUUGGAGUCAGAAGCUGAUAGCAAAUCCUGUAUGCAGCUUUCGCUCGCAAAGUACACGUACCUUCUUAGAGAGUCCUCACUAAUGGACCUGCGAAAAAAUUCCAAAUAAAAAGUAGAAUCUGAGGGAGCUAUAAUCAAUGUAACAGUGUCAAGAUUAGAUGAGAAAGAUUAUUAGUGCUUACCAGGACGUGCUGCUACCUGUUGGACUGUUCAUUGCAAGGUUCAAGAAGUGGCUCCUCCCGAGUCCUGAAGCCUUCUUUUCACUUCAACAAAAUCAAAGAUAUUGUAAAAAAUAUAUAUAGUAAAGAGGAAGGGAGUAUCAAUUGGAGGUUAAGGAUUAGUUCGAAAGAGUGGCCGAGAAGUGUAAAAUAAUGCUAAAUGGGCCAAGGUCAUUGAUGCACAUGCAAUGCCAGAGGAACCUCCAUGAUUAGAAGUUAACGUCUUCUUCUCUAUAGAAAGAGAGAUAAAGGAUGGAUACUUUCCUUGCAAAAAAGCAGCAAGAACUGAGUGUAGGGAGGAUGAUGCACAUGGAGUGUUGGUGGGCAUUUUAAAACACAGCAAAGAAAAGAGGGAAAAUGACUGAAAAUCAAAGCCAGAAUAAGACCACAAGAGUUGUUAUAACUCUGUAUUAUACAAAACUCUUUGCCUGGUUAUGGGUGACGUUGAACCUACCAAAAACAAUCUCAUGACUUCCUCCUGAACAUGCCAUGGCCAAAUUUAAACUGCAGUACCAAACAACAGAGGGACAAAUCAGAUCCCAGAGUAUGAAGUCCUUUGCAUAGUAUAUUUAUUGUACCAUCUCACCAAUCCAUUUACAUUCCAAGCACUUUCAAAAUGUUAGUCUUACAGUCUUAAGAUGGUAAUACAUAAAAUCUUCUGUACAUUGCAUUAAUAUAUGAAAGUUGAC
rnacentral:misc_RNA from 1 species